rnacentral:lncRNA from 1 species
AAAAAUCCUAUGGAGAGGAUUCUACCCAUUUAAUUAUUUUAUUUACUAAUUAUUGUUAUCAUCAAAAUAAAACUAAAAGUUGGAGACCCAACAAUCUCCCCCUUUUUGAUGAUGACAAUCAACUAAAAAUAUUUUUCAUAAAAGCUCCCCCUCAAUUUAUGCAAUCAUAAAAAAUUUAAAAUUUUUGAAAAAACUAACAUGCAACAAUAUAUAAAUUAACAUGCAACAAUAUAUAACAGUUAUUUUUUUCUCCCCAAUAAUAUUUUUCUUCUCCCCCUUUGUCAUCAUAAAAAAUGGGGAAAAGAGUAGAAUAAAUUAUUUUUCAGAACCUGCAGAAGAAGAGAUUAGAAAAAAAAAUAUUCUUUUUUUAAAAAAAUUGUUGCUUCCUGCAUGGUUUGAAUUUGUGUGGUUGCCUUUGAUUGACCAAAACUACUAUACAAGAAUGAAGAUUAUUUACCGUUAG